UGAAAUUAACCUUAUUGAUCUGCAAAUUUCUCAAUCAUCAAAGAUAUCAUGGAUUCAAAUCAAACCCAGUACAACAAAAAUUUGUUAUCGUUAUUGAUCUAUAAUAGUUUUGCAAAGGUUAGUUUCGAGCAGCCAUUUCCGUCAGAUCAGAUCCAGAUUCAGUUCAUGAAAGACAGCUAUAUGUAGCUAAUAUUGAUUCCGGGCUCGUCUAUUCACAUCGAUAUAUACUUAUCUACAGAUGAGAAAGCAAGGAUUUUAACUUAGAUGCACCAUGCGACUGAGUAAGGUUGUUAAUCUCUGAUAUAAGAAAAUGAAGGGCUAUUGAUUUCUGGAAAUGCUCUCUUAUCGUGUUAAAAGAUAAGAUCAGUCUUUGAACACAAAAAAAAAAAAAAGAUAAAAUCAGUGUUGAUGUGCUAAUUUUUCGUAUUGAAAAACUUAUUUAUAGAGGUCAUAAGUCUCUUGGGGUUAGGUGGAUAGAAGAUUUGAGAAUAGGUUUUUGACACGCUAAAUUUUAAAAAUUGAGAAUAUCGUUUUUUUUUUCAAUUU